rnacentral:lncRNA from 1 species
GCUGACUGGUUUUUCCUCACCCUCGCCACGUCUACUCCCAGAGGCUUUAUUGGGCCACUCCGGCCGCCAGGAUAAGGCUGCACGUCCAUCGUAGCGGAGCUCGAAGGCCACGCUGGUGGAGAUGCCGGUAGGCCUGCAAAAUAUUUCAAUUCCAUACAAAUCAUUAUAUACUCCAACCACACAACCAUUCAUCUCAACUCAACAACCUUCAUUUCAAAAGAUUUAUCCAUCAUCACUUCAAAAAUGUGCAUUUUUUCACUUUUGGAUAUUUAUUAUGUCACCAUAAAUUUUUUAUAUUCUCUCCAUCUACAUAGCGUAUUCAUCGAAAUUUAUUGGGCAAAACCUGUGCCAUAGAAAACAAUGCACAGCUCGAAGGCCAGCCGGUAGGAGAUGCGGUAGGCCUGGAUAGUGAACAUAUACGACAUCAUAAACACCAAAAGUGGAAGUGUUGAUGGAGAGGUCUUUGGUCCAAAACUUUUUGUAAAUGGAGAAGGCGGCAGCAGAUGUGAAAGGCUGAGCCAGAGGCACCAAAUUGAUGAGAAC